rnacentral:lncRNA from 1 species
CAAAUCUUUGGAAACCAAAUGUCAGGUUAAGUUGCCCUGUGUAGGCACUUUCUUGGCACACUCUGCUGUGUGUGUGUGUGUGUGUGCCCAUGUCUCCCAUCUCUCCUAGGUCAUGAUGAAUGCUCUCCCAUCUCCACGGUCUAGGCAGCUGGGUGAAAGGGUAAACAAACACAACAAGCCACUGUUGUGGAUCUAUUCAUUGGGCAUCAGUCUUCCAGUGAGGCCUCAGCACCCUACACAGGGCCUGGCUUAGAAACAUCAAAGUUCUGCUCACUGAAAAAACCCACAUGGAAGUGCAUAAACUCACAUUUUAGCUUUUUUUUUUUUUUUUCCCGUGUCAGUCUCCUUAGUGAAGACACACAGCUCGCUCUGUGGCAGCCCUGAGCCUGUGGUCUUGAUGGAGAAGGCGUGUGGUGUCAGAAACACUAUGACCUGUGUGAAAGUAAACACUGCAUGCAUACACAAAUCCAGCAGCAGCAUUUACCUGACUUGUGAUUUAACACAAAGACUUUAACUGGGAUUUUCAGUUAUUGUUUCCAGCUCAUCGGUUUUAUAUCAGCAAAACGACUUGACUUUGCCAACAGUGAUAAAUGGUCCCAGUCAUAAAAAAUGAACUCCCAUAACAAGUUCAGUAAAGUAGCUUGUUGUGCUGUCACAAAUGAAAGUACAAUGGGGCUCUGUGAAGCGCUUGUGCACGUCUGAUUUCCAGAAACAGUGAAGUGGGUGUGAUGUUGGAGUGAGACAGAUUAGUGGCCAUGUUGCUCCAGCAGACCAGGACCGAGGCUUUGUCUCUCUGACUGUGGAUGGGAGGAUAAUUGGGGGGGUGUUGAAUGGUUAAUAGUGCCAUUGGUGACCAUGGUAAUGAAAGGCACCAUACCUCCCCUACCCCACCUCAUCCUCUCUCUCUCUUUCUCUCUCUCCCUCUCUCCUACUGUAUGAUCUAUUGUGUCUGGAGCUGGACUGUGGUCUGUGCCAGGCCAGGCCAGACAAAAAGAUCGAAACCACUCCUGCGCCCAGCCAAAGACCCAAACAGCUUAUCCCUGGUCAGUUGGAAACAUCAAGACACCACAUUUUCUUCUGCUCAUCCAGAGCCAUAUCUGUCAUGGCCAAACCCAAGUCUGUUAAGCAGAAUGGGUGUGAGGCUUGUGAUGUUUGGGAUCCAUGCAGACACCUCCAUGAAGUCAGAGGGAUGUCCUGGCUCUGCGUGGUUGAGGAGGCAGUGGUGCCUCCACGCUGGAUGCCUUACUGCUACUGCACUGGCUUAUCAGAUUGGAUUAGAGCUCCUGCAGGGAGACUGGAAGCCACACAUGAUUGAUGCCCUCAUUCCCCAGCUGAGAUGA